UGUGUGUAGAUUGAUGAGGAACAAAAACUAUUUAAUGCAUUUUAUAAUAAGGCUGUAACCUAACAAAUUGUGGAUACUUUCCGAAUGCACUGUAUGUGUAUGUCAUUGGAGUCCACACUGGCACAUAUUCACACACAUACACACACACACACUCUUAGUAUGGGGGGGGUAAGCUUGCCAUGUCUAUGCAGAGUGUUUGUGUGUUUUAUCACAAGCCGAAGGAGUUUCCACACACACUCACACACACUUGCUCUUGUUGACGGAGGAAAUUCAUGGCGUGUAGUUUUUGUGCAGAAGAAUCCUUAAAAAGAGGAAGAGAGUCGUCAAACACUUAUCUGUUCACUCGGCCACUCAAUCUACUUAGUGUGCAGCAAUAGUUCUGUGUAUGUUUCCGAAUACGUCUUUCACAUUAUUUUGCAUGUUGAAGAUUAUUAAUCAUAUGCUAGAACGCAAAGAAAGGCACAUGUAUAUUCUUAUUAUUACACUGAUAUACUUGACCAUGCCAACUGAAUAGCCUUACUCUUCCUGUACAUACAGAACAUAGAGGGAAAGGGGAAACCUAGUCAGUUGCACAACUGAAUGCAUUCAACCAAAAUGUGUCUUCCGCAUUUGACCCAACCCCUCUGAAUCAGAGAGGUGCGGGCUGACUUCAUCAACAUCAUUGACCUUUCAGUUACUGAUCUAACACUCUUAAUCACUAGGCUUCCUGUUGCCCCCUAGAUAGGCCUAAUGCAAUAGUCUUCCUGUGACAAUUAGCUAGAUCGAUUUAGAUAUACUAGAUUUGCCAUUUUGGUCAAAGACAGAGAGGGAUGCAUGUAUGACUAUGCAUUUCAAGAUUCCCGUGUGUUUUAAAUCUACAGUACUUUCAAACAACUUUUUAUAAUUUAUAUUGCCAACUGGCAGGUGUCCCAAAUCUAGAACAUGAACCCUUCCCUGCUGCUCCCCUCUUUCUUCUGAUGGUGAACUCUUGAACUCUAGAACCCUAGAACCAAGACUCUCCUCUCCCAGCCCUGAAUCAGUCAAGUAUCAAAUUAAUUAGAUGGAAGAAAUUAAGCUACCAGACCUUACAAGCUACUUGUAACCAACAAUCUUUCAUAUAAUUAGUUUUGACCCAAUCAAAGCCUUUUGAAAGUAGAAGGCUCUCAUUGGCUAACAUGACUCAUCCUGCCCUUUGGUCUUGGUCAAUGAGAGUCAGAUUCAGAGAUGUAUUUCCAUAUCACCUAUACAUGAUUGCAUCCUCUUCUCAUAUUAUGUCAAUACUCAACCAUAUUUUAUGUGUUUUGUUAUUAUUCUUCCCAAAUGCUCAUUCAUAAAUACAGUAUAAGCAGGACUCAUUGUGGAAUAAGACAGAGUUUGGAGACCAAUUUGGCUGGAGAGUUCUCUGGUUGUAGUCCCUAGUUUAUGAUGAGUAAACAGACCAAAACUAUUCCCCUCACCUCCCAGUCCCCAUACUGUGUAACUCAUUCAAUAAAAUAAUUUCUAUAACAUAUCAUGCAUUUUCAUAACUGUGUCCUAGAUAUAUGAUAUGAUAUCAUAUUGGUGGCAGCGUUGGGAUACAGGCUACAGUUAGUCUGGGUACCAGUCUGUUUAGCUAACAUUCCACUCUGUAUUCCGUGUCAUAUGCCAAAGUUUAGCAGAAAGUUUAGCUAAACAGACUUCUAUGGGCACGGGUAAGCCUCGAGCAAGGAGCGAACAACCACUGUAGACACAGAUCUCAGUUAUUUAACGUUAGUUAUUACAGACAGAUCUGGCAUUUCUCCAUCUGGAAAUUACUACUUACAACACAACUGCAAUUUUUUAUUUUAUAUUUGUCCAAGAUAGCUAGGUGCAAAGCUAGCAAGCGAGUAAAUUUAAGAUGCCUCUAGAUCCAGUUCGCCAGCAGAGCAGCCCUCGCCAAAAAGACAGUAAACCAAAAGCUGCCACCAUUGCAGUGGGUGCCGGAUAGACAAUGGUGGUAAAUAUCUCAUUCAAAUUUUAAUUAAUUCAUUAAUGUGGCCACUUAAUUUACUGUAUGGUUAUCGUUAUAAGUUAUGCAUACUUAAUGUUAAUAUUCCUUUACCAUAGGUCCUUCAUUCUCGAAUGUGAAGCCGACUGACCCUAGCAGGAAGGACCAGAGAAAAGUGUUUGCUUAAGGUUUUAAGGUAAUUGGGCCUCUAUUUUAGGAGAGGAAUGACAUGCAUGACCUUCUGUCUCUCCUCUCUACUGAGACCGAUCUGGCCGCAGCAGCGCAGGCCCAGCUCUAACAGUGGUCUUCCCAACCGGCUGUCUUGUUCUGCUCCCCUUUGGCAACAGCUACCGCCACAACAAAAGAGGAUUGCUCUGAAGAGUACCUGCUGGAUACAGAGCACACCUCUGCCAGCCACACCACCACUGCCCUUGACAGCUUCUCCACUGGGCCCAUCAAGAGAUGAGGUCGCGUCUUCAUCUUGGACCACGACCGAUGGACAGAGCCCAUUAGAGCUGCCAGUGAUGGGCUACUGGCCAAUCACCACGAGGAAGAAGAUAUCCUGAAGCGGGUGAAUCUGCUCUGCUCUUAACACCACCCCAGAGAAGCUCCUAGAGACACACAGCUGUGGCAUUAUGUUACUGUAGAGAGUGAAACAGUCAGUGUCCCAGUCAUGUCCUCAGUCAUGUCCCCUGCCACCUACACUUACCCAGCAGAAGGCCUCACCUACUCAACGUUUCCAUUUGAGGAUUUAGCUUCCGCUGCCUCCUUUCAAUGGGAACUGGAGGCCUCGAAGCAGAGGGGGCAGUGAGGAAGGAGCGAACAGAGGAAAGAGAUGAGCAUCCCUCCGGCCGUCUGUACAGGUUCUGCCAGCAGCCGCUGAAACAAAUCUCCAGCCCAUAUCAGCUUUUCUUGAGUGGUAGGAAAAUAUCUACUGCCUAGUGUUUCCCCUGUACAUUGUACAGGGCAUUGGAGGGAGCUCCAACAGUCUGCCUUUUAUGAGACUGAAAAGAAGAGAUGGAUGGUGGAGAAGGGUAGUGACUCUAUACACACGUACACACAGAAAUAAAUAGGAGUUGCAAAUCUAUUGUCAUGGAAAUUACCACCAGGGAUUCAAAGUCAAACUUAAAUGAAUAAUGAUUUAUUUUCAGUUAACUGGAGAGAUUUCAACAAACUUAAUGCACCAUAGUACACGUCGGUCAGGAGCUCUGUCUCUCAAUUGUUCGCGGAUGAUGUGUCUCCUUUUGGGCAGCUCACAGUAAGGGUCUGGGCGGGUCCUCGUUGUCUUUUGGUCUGAUGGAAAUUUCCUUCAUGCUUCAUGAAAUGUGCCACCAGUUUUCCUCGCAGACCCUCACUGGAAAGCUCCGCAGGCAGAAUCAAUCAUCCGGUUCUUGAUGCCAAAUUGUCUUGGAAAUUACCACCAGGGACUCAAAGUCAAACUUAAACGAAUCAUUAUUUAUUGUCAGUUAACUGGAGAAGUUCCAACAAACUUAAUGCACCAUAGUACACGUUGGUCGGGAGCUCUCCGGGGCAGUCCCGUUAGUUCUCUUAUAUACUGCUUACACAGACAAGUUAUAUUUGCAUGAUUUACAUUAUACAUUAUUCCUGAUUAAUUCAUUUGGUUAACUAUCAAAGGAGGUUCUAUCAAAAUACGUCAUUAUAAGUAAGCGAAAUGAACACAUAAAACCAGACACUUCAUCCUUUCAAAUCCUUCGUUCUGGGUUGUGCAAUCCAACUUGUAAAACCAUUGCAGUAGAAUGUUUUAUGCUUCACUACAGGACACUAUUUCCAUUGGUGGAAGUGGUUUGGACUCUCGUUUGAUUUGUAUCUAUUUCACUGUCCAUUAUUUUACAUUUAAUCAGUAAGGCCAGAGGAGGUGUGGUAUAUGGCCAAUAUACCACGGUUAAGGGCUGUUCUUAUGCAAGAUACAACGCAGAGUGCCUGGACACAGCCUUAGUUGUGGCAUAUUGUCCAUAUAUCACAAACCCCAGAGGUGCCUUAUUGCUGUUAUAAACUGGUUACCAGUGUAAUUAGAGCAGUAAAACUACAUGUGCUUUCAGCCAAUCAGAAUUCAGGACUCAAACCACCCAGUUUAUAAUACUGAACAUACAUUGCUGUAUAUUUUGUUGUACAAAGUUUUGUGCUCCAACACUAUCAUAAAUAUGUCUGUGAUUUCAUUAAAGUAAACCUCAAAGUAAAGUAAUAUUCU